CAGUAGCCGCGGUAAUACGUAGGUGGCAAGCGUUGUCCGGAAUUAUUGGGCGUAAAGGGCUCGCAGGCGGUUUCUUAAGUCUGAUGUGAAAGCCCCCGGCUCAACCGGGGAGGGUCAUUGGAAACUGGGAAACUUGAGUGCAGAAGAGGAGAGUGGAAUUCCACGUGUAGCGGUGAAAUGCGUAGAGAUGUGGAGGAACACCAGUGGCGAAGGCGACUCUCUGGUCUGUAACUGACGCUGAGGAGCGAAAGCGUGGAGAGCGAACAGGAUUAGAUACCCCAGUAGUCCCUGUCUCUUAUAC
rnacentral:rRNA from 1 species